rnacentral:rRNA from 1 species
AUUGAACGCUGGCGGCGUGCUUAACACAUGCAAGUCGAUCGGUAACAGGUGUAGCAAUACAUGCUGACGAGAGGCGGACGGGUGAGGAACGCUUGGGAAUCUGCCUAUCAGCGGGGGACAACCCGGGGAAACUCGGGCUAAUACCGCAUACGCUCUACGGAGGAAAGCCGGGGACCGCAAGGCCUGGCACUGAUAGAUGAGCCCAAGUCGGAUUAGCUAGUUGGCGGGGUAACGGCCCACCAAGGCGACGAUCCGUAGCUGGUCUGAGAGGACGAUCAGCCACACCGGAACUGAGACACGGUCCGGACUCCUACGGGAGGCAGCAGUGGGGAAUAUUGGACAAUGGGCGAAAGCCUGAUCCAGCGACGCCGCGUGGGUGAAGAAGGCCUGCGGGUUGUAAAGCCCUUUCGGUAGGGACGAAAACUCUUGACUUAAUACGUCGAGGGAUUGACUUAACCUACAUAAGAAGCACCGGCUAACUCUGUGCCAGCCGCCGCCGUAACAC